UUAAGCAUAUCAAUAAGCGGAGGAAAAGAAACCAACAGGGAUUGCCUCAGUAGCGGCGAGUGAAGCGGCAAAAGCUCAAAUUUGAAAUCUGGCGUCUUUGGCGUCCGAGUUGUAAUUUGAAGAAGGUAUCUUUGGGCCCGGCUCUUGUCUAUGUUCCUUGGAACAGGACGUCACAGAGGGUGAGAAUCCCGUGCGAUGAGAUGACCCGGGUCUGUGUAAAGUUCCUUCGACGAGUCGAGUUGUUUGGGAAUGCAGCUCUAAGUGGGUGGUAAAUUCCAUCUAAAGCUAAAUAUUGGCGAGAGACCGAUAGCGAACAAGUACAGUGAUGGAAAGAUGAAAAGAACUUUGAAAAGAGAGUGAAAAAGUACGUGAAAUUGUUGAAAGGGAAGGGCUUGAGAUCAGACUUGGUAUUUUGCAUGCUGCUCUCUCGGGGGCGGCCGCUGCGGUUUACCGGGCCAGCAUCGGUUUGGAGCGGCAGGAUAAUGGCGGAGGAAUGUGGCACGGCUUCUGCUGUGUGUUAUAGCCUCUGACGAUACUGCCAGCCUAGACCGAGGACUGCGGUUUUUACCUAGGAUGUUGGCAUAAUGAUCUUAAGUCGCCCGUCUUGA
rnacentral:rRNA from 1 species